CACACACAUGCACACGCACACGCACGCACACACACACACAUACACACAUACUGUCUUCAAGGUAAGUCUCUGACUGGUCCUGUUGACCCAGAGAAGGUAAGGAUAGUCGUGACUUGGAGGAGGAAAUGCAGAGAGUGCCUGGCCUGUUCCCUACAUUUUUCUUUUCAGAGCCUGCCUCCCUCCUCCCUCACUCCCAGGCUUUUCUAAGAAACACAUUCAGGCAGUUGGUUGCCAGGGCAACCCCAGAAGGCAGAACAGUCCAAAAACAGAUGCUAAAGCCCCCUACACAGAGCCUCAGUGCUUCGAUCUGAUAGACAACAGGUCUGUGUUCCACCUGUGUGCCUGAAGAAGUGUGACGAGACUGUUGGAUACCCUGGGACUUGUGAGCCACCAUGGCCUGAAUUUAGAGGGGGGAUGCCCAUCCCCCACUUUGCCAGGAUCUCAUCAGGAAGACAAGCUCAGCUGCUCAGCGGUUUUGGCUUCUUGCAGGAAGCUGCAGAUGGGGCACACAGUAGACUUCACCUAGGUCAGAAGACUCCACCCUAGGUGAGCUAGCCGACUGUGGCAAACAAGGUCUGAUUCAGCCCGCUCAAGGCUGGGGGAAGGGCACAGUUAGGGUUUCUAUUUCUAUGAUAAAACAUCAUGACAAAAAAGCAAGUUGGGGGUGGGGUGGGGCUGGAGAGAUGGCUCAGCGGUUAAGAGCACUGACUGCUCUUCUGGAGGUCCUGAGUUCAAGUCCCAGCAGCCACAUGGUGGCUCAUAACCAUCUGUAAUGAGUUUUGAUGCCCUCUUCUGGUGUGUCUGAAGACAGCUGCAGUGUACUUAAAUAAAUAAAUUUUUUUUAAAAGCAA